rnacentral:lncRNA from 1 species
AAUUCUAUACAAAUGAAUUCUGUGUUCAUUUGUGGAUGCAAAUGAAGAAGGGGUGAGUGCACUGCACGUGUCCAGAGUUACCUGGGGCUGUUUCUGGGCUCCAAUUUCUCUGCUGAGGUAUGUCAUCACCCACUAAUGGAAUGUUAUCCCCGAAUUUGAUUUAAGUCACAAAUGGCUAGAUGUGCAUGUUUGUGCGUGUGUGAGAUGGGACUCCAGUGCAUGUUUCCUCUGCCUAGUCAGAAAAAUGAUCAAACACCUCUCUUUGGUAACAAAGCUAGUCAAGACUUCUUUAUGGAAUUAUUAAGUUUAAGAAGUUGUCCCCCACCCCCUCAAAAAGUUUGAAAGUCAUUCACUUCCAAGUCUGCCAAUCUGUUGAUUUCAUAAUUUCCCAUCAUUAUUUUUUGACUAUUUUUUGUUUGUAUCUUUGCUAUGUAGCCCUGGCUAGCCAGUCUGGUACUUGCUAUAUAACCCAGGUUAGCCUCCAACUCAUAGCAACCCUCCUGCCUCAGUCUUCUGAGUGCUGAUACCUAGGCAUGAACCACCACACCCAGCUUUCUACAGGCUGAAACCUAGUAUGAGAUAAGCAUUUCUGGCAGGUGCAUAAUUUAAAGAUCUACUAGGAAAUUGAGGGUUAUUUUUGUUUUGUUUUUAGAUAGGAUCCUAUCCUGUAGCCCAGGCUGUCCUUGAAUGUAUAUGAUCUUGCUUCAAAUUUGCCAAGUUCUGGGAUCACAUCAUACCAGACAUUUUUUAAAAUUUCAAUAUAUAAGCAUUAAAAACCCAGAUUGAACAAAACAUCAAAAUCUUAGGAUGUAUCAGGAAUGGUAUUAAGGUGAAAGAGGUAAGAGCCCUUAAUUGAACAAAUAUGAGGACAAAUCCUGUCUACUUAAAUUGUGAUAUGUUCAUAAAGAUGUUUUUACAUUUAAAAAUUUUUAUUUUCUUUAAAUACUGUAUCAAGACAGUACUUAUCUUGAUUCGUGAGUUUUAAGCACUCCUUCAGUUUUCUCCCAGUGAGUGGUAGGUGAAUGCCUCGUGCCUUGCUAGCAUCACCUCAGACUUGUCCCAGUUUCUGAAGCUUGAAUAAUGCAGGUGAAACCUUCACCGUGAGCCCCUCUUCCUGGCUGCAGUCACCCUGUGUGCACUUCUGUCAUCCUUCUCCCACAACAUACAUAGGAUGCCUACCUGCCUGGGUGGGAAUGCAAACAGCCCAGCAGGGGUUUUCCUGUAGAAUAAAACCAGGGAAUUCCAUUUCCUUUGGGCUGCUGUGUUUGGACUUGGUCUGUUAUUAGAUUGUAUAAACUGAGGACAAAUGAAGAGAAUCAG